AGGUUUGGUCCUGGCCUUUUUAUUAAUUUAAAGUAAUAUUAUACAUGCAAGUAUCCGCAUUACAGUGAUUAAUCUCUAAUAAUCUUUAAGAUUGUUAGAAAUAGGUAUCAAGCACACUUCUAUGUAGCUUAAAACGCCUUGCUAAGCCACACCCCCACGGGAUACAGCAGUAAUAAAAAUUAAGCAAUAAACGCAAGUUUGACUUAGAUAUACUUAUUAGGGUUGGCUAACUUCGUGCCAGCCGCCGCGGUCAUACGAUCAACCCAAAUUAAUAAAUAUCGGCGUAAAGUGUGUUAUAGAAACAAAAGCAAAUAAAGUUAAUUUCUUCAUGAGUUGUAAAAAACCCAAAGAAGCUAUAAACCUAACUACGAAAGUGACUUUAUAUUAUUCAUUAACACGACAGCCUAGAGACAAACUGGGAUUAGAUACCCCACUAUGCUAGGCCUUAAACUUAAAUGUUUAAACAACAAAAACAUUCGCCAGAGAACUACUAGCUAAAGCUUAAAACUUAAAGGACUUGGCGGUGCUUCACACCCACCUAGAGGAGCCUGUUGAAUAAUCGAUAAACCCCGAUACACCUCACCAUUACUUGCUAAUUCAGUCUGUAUACCGCCAUCUUCAGCAAACCCUAAAAAGGUCACAAAGUAAGCUUAACAAUUAUCAUAAAAACGUUAGGUCAAGGUGUAACCUAUGUAAUGGGAUCUAAUGGGCUACAUUUUCUAUUACUAGAACACCUACGGAUACCCAAUUGAAAUCCAGUUGAAGGAGGAUUUAGUAGUAAAUUAAGAAUAGAGCGCUUAAUUGAACCAUGGUAAUGAAGCACGCACACACCGCCCGUCACCCUCCUCAAAAACUACAUUAUAUAAAUCUUAAUAAACCCUUAUUUUACCUAUAGCUUAGAGGAGAUAAGUCGUAACAAGGUAAGCAUACUGGAAAGUGUGCUUGGAAAA
rnacentral:ncRNA from 1 species